rnacentral:rRNA from 1 species
AUGCCGGCGACACAAGUGCCUCGAACAGAAGUUUUGGAAAACCAUGUUAGCAACUUGAAUCUUCUGAGCUGGAAUUGCCGAGGGUGUGGAAAUUCUCGUACAAUACGGGAUCUUGUGAGCUUGGUGCAGGUUCAUUCUCCUACUAUCGUCUUUCUUUGUGAAACUAGGCAAAGGAAAGUUAAGAUGAAAAGAUAUCGAUCCCGCUUAGGUCUAAGUGGUUUCGAAGCAGUCAAUAGCAAUGGUCUUAGUGGUGGCUUAGCUCUUUUCUGGCAUGAAUCGGUACAACUUGAUGUAAAAGAUAUGAAUGAACGAUAUAUUGAUGCCUAUGUGAGUGCUGCGACGGGGGAGCCACCUUGGUGGCUUACCCGCGUCUAUGGAGAACCGCGGACGGAGGACCGACAUCGCAUGUGGUCCGUCCUCCGGGAUCUCCACCGCCAAGCCGACAUGCCGUGGGUGGUGGUCGGAGACUUCAACGAGGCUAUGUGGAGCUUCGAACACUUCUCCGAAUCACCGCGUCCGGCAGGUCAGAUGAUUGAUUUUUGUGAUGCUAUGGAAGUUUGUGGAUUGGGUGAUCUUGGUUUUGCAGGGCUGCCUUUCACUUAUGACAAUCGCCGUGGAGGACGGGCGAAUGUCAAAGUCAGAUUGGACCGGGCUGUUGCAAAUAAUUCUUAG